rnacentral:rRNA from 1 species
UACAGAGACUGCAAGCGUUAUUCGGAUUCACCGGGCGUAAAGGGUGCGCAGGCGGUUGUGUGUGUCAGGUGUGAAAGCCCGGGGCUUAACCCCGGAAUUGCGCCUGAAACUACAUGACUAGAGCAUUGGAGAGGGUAGCGGAAUUCACGGUGUAGCAGUGAAAUGCGUAGAUAUCAUGAGGAAUACCAGAGGCGAAGGCGGCUACCUGGACAAUUGCUGACGCUCAGGCACGAAAGCGUGGGGAGCAAAAGGG